rnacentral:rRNA from 1 species
GAUGAACGCUGGCGGCGUGCCUAACACAUGCAAGUCGAGCGAAGAUAGAGACGAGUACUUGUACAAAUUUUUAUCUUAGCGGCGGACGGGUGAGUAACACGUGAGUAACCUGCCUUUCACUGGGGAAUAACAUCGAGAAAUCGGUGCUAAUACCGCAUAAUGUCACGAGAUCGCAUGGUUUUGUGACCAAAGGAGCAAUCCGGUGAUAGAUGGACUCGCGUCCGAUUAGAUAGUUGGUGAGGUAACGGCCCACCAAGUCAACGAUCGGUAGCCGAACUGAGAGGUUGAUCGGCCACAUUGGGACUGAGACACGGCCCAGACUCCUACGGGAGGCAGCAGUGGGGAAUAUUGGGCAAUGGGCGAAAGCCUGACCCAGCAACGCCGCGUGAAGGAAGAAGGUCUUCGGAUUGUAAACUUCUUUGAUCAGGGACGAAUAAAUGACGGUACCUGAAGAACAAGCCACGGCUAACUACGUG